CGUAGGUGCAAGCGUUAUCCGGAAUUAUUGGGCGUAAAGAGCUCGUAGGCGGUUUGUCGCGUCUGCUGUGAAAUCCCGAGGCUCAACCUCGGGCCUGCAGUGGGUACGGGCAGACUAGAGUGCGGUAGGGGAGAUUGGAAUUCCUGGUGUAGCGGUGGAAUGCGCAGAUAUCAGGAGGAACACCGAUGGCGAAGGCAGAUCUCUGGGCCGUUACUGACGCUGAGGAGCGAAAGGGUGGGAGCAAACAGGCUU
rnacentral:rRNA from 1 species